rnacentral:rRNA from 1 species
GACGUAGGGGGCGAGCGUUGUCCGGAUUUAUUGGGCGUAAAGCGUGCGUAGGCGGCUGCGCAAGUCGGUUGUGAAACCCCGGGGCUCAACCCCGGAACUGCAUCCGAUACUGCGUGGCUAGAGGUAGGUAGGGGAGAUCGGAAUUCCUGGUGUAGCGGUGAAAUGCGCAGAUAUCGAGAGGAACACCUGUGGCGAAGGCGGCCUUCUGGACGACAACUGACGCUGAGACGCGAAAGCGUGGGGAGCAAACAGG